rnacentral:rRNA from 1 species
UACAGAGGGUGCGAGCGUUGUUCGGAAUUACUGGGCGUAAAGCGCGCGCAGGCGGCCCUUUAAGUCCACUGGUGAAAGACCGGGGCUCAACCCCCGAGUCAGCCCAGGGAUACUGGAGGGCUGGGAGACAGGUAGAGGCAAGCCGGAAUCCGGGGUGUAGCGGUGGAAUGCGUAGAGUAGUCCGGAAGAACACCGGAGGCGAAGGCGGCUUGCUGGACCUGGUCUGACGCUGAGGCGCGAAAGCGUGGGGAGCGAACAGG